CACGUAGGGGGCGAGCGUUGUCCGGAUUUAUUGGGCGUAAAGAGCUCGUAGGCGGCUUAGUAAGUCAGGUGUGAAACCUCCAGGCUCAACCUGGGGACGCCACCUGAUACUGCUGUGGCUAGUGUCCGGUAGGGGAGCAGGGAACUCCUGGUGUAGCGGUGAAAUGCGCAGAUAUCAGGAAGAACACCAGCUGCGAAGGCGCUGCUCUGGGCCGGAACUGACGCUGAGGAGCGAAAGCGUGGGGAGCAAACAGG
rnacentral:rRNA from 1 species